ACUCAAAUGAAUUGACGGGGACCCGCACAAGCAGCGGAGCGUGUGGUUUAAUUCGAGGCUACGCGAAGAACCUUACCAGGGUUUGACAUGCACGUAGUAGUGAAGCGAAAGCGGAACGACCCUUCGGGGAGCGUGCACAGGUGAUGCAUGGCUGUCGUCAGCUCGUGCCGUGAGGUGUUUGGUUAAGUCCACUAACGAGCGCAACCCCUAGCGCCAGUUACAUGUGUCUGGCGCGACUGCCGGUCUUAAGCCGGAGGAAGGUGGGGAUGACGUCAAGUCAGCAUGUCCCUUAUAUCCUGGGCUACACACACGCUACAAUGGCCAGUACAGUAGGGUGCUAAGCCGUGAGGCGGAGCCAAUCCUCAAAGCUGGUCUCAGUUCGGAUCGUAGGCUGCAACCCGCCUACGUGAAGUCGGAGUUGCUAGUAACUGCAGGACAGCUAUACUGCGGUGAAUACGUUCCCGGGUCUUGUACACACCGCCCGU
rnacentral:rRNA from 1 species